GCACCCGUAGCUCAGUGGUCAGAGCACGCAGCGUUGAAGCGACUGCGGGUCAGCGGUUCGAAUCCGCUCGGGAGCA